CACAGAUUCAGUCCACAGGAAGCUGAAGCUCCUCAGCUGAAACGUCUCUGUGUGAGUUUCCAUUCAGAGGAAGUGAAGAAACACGUGGAGAAGCAGUUAGCUAGCAGAAACACAGCGGCUCUGCUCCUGCUGCUCCUGCUGCUCCUCCUGCUGCUCCUCCAGUCUGCUCCAUCAGUCUGCUGCUCCUCCUGCUGCUCCUCCAGUCUGCUCCAUCAGUCUGCUGCUCCUCCUGCUGCUCCUCCUGCUGCUCCUCCAGUCUGCUCCAUCAGUCUGCUCCUCCUCCUGCUGCUCCUCCAGUCUGCUCCUUCAGUCUGCUCCUCCUGCUGCUCCUCCAGUCUGCUCCAUCAGUCUGCUGCUCCUCCUGUCUGCUCCUCCUGCUGCUCCUCCUGCUCCUCCUCCUGUCUGCUCCAUCAGUCUGCUCCUCCUCCUGCUGCUCCUCCAGUCUGCUCCUCCUGCUCCUCCUCCUGCUCCUCCUCCUGUCUGCUCCUCCUGCUGCUCCUCCUGCUGCUCCUCCUGUCUGCUCCUCCUGUCUGCUCCUCCUCCUGCUGCUCCAUCAGUCUGCUCCUCCUGUCUGCUCCUCCUGCUGCUCCUCCAGUCUGCUCCUCCUGUCUGCUCCUCCUCCUGCUGCUCCAUCAGUCUGCUCCUCCUGUCUGCUCCUCCUGCUGCUCCUCCAGUCUGCUCCUCCUGCUCCUCCUGCUGCUCCUCCUGCUGCUCCAGUCUGCUCCAUCAGUCUGCUCCUCCAGUCUGCUCCUCCUGCUGCUCCUCCUGCUGCUCCUUCAGUCUGCUGCUCCUCCUGUUGCUCCUCCAGUCUGCUCUUCCAGUCUGCUCCUCCUGCUGCUCCUCCAGUCUGCUCCUUCAGUCUGCUCCAUCAGUCUGCUCCUUCAGUCUGCUCCAUCAGUCUGCUCCUCCUGCUGCUCCUUCAGUCUGCUCCUUCAGUCUGCUCCUCCUCCUGCUCCUCCAGUCUGCUCCUUCAGUCUGCUCCUUCAGUCUGCUCCUCCUCCUGCUCCUCCAGUCUGCUCCUUCAGUCUGCUCCUUCAGUCUGCUCCUCCUCCUGCUCCUCCAGUCUGCUCCUUCAGUCUGCUCCUUCAGUCUGCUCCUCCUGCUGCUCCUCCAGUCUGCUCCUUCAGUCUGCUCCUCCUCCUGCUCCUCCAGUCUGCUCCUUCAGUCUGCUCCUUCAGUCUGCUCCUCCUGCUGCUCCUCCAGUCUGCUCCUUCAGUCUGCUCCUCCUCCUGCUCCUCCAGUCUGCUCCUUCAGUCUGCUCCUCCUCCUGCUCCUCCAGUCUGCUCCAUCAGUCUGCUCCUCCUGCUGCUCCUCCUGCUGCUCCUGCUGCUCCUCCUGCUCCUCCUGCUGCUCCAUCAGUCUGCUCCUCUCCUCCUGCUCCUCCUGCUGCUCCUCUUGCUGCUGCUCCUGCUGCUCCUCCUGCUCCUCCUGCUGCUCCUCCAGUCUGCUCCUCUCCUCCUGCUCCUCUCCUGCUGCUCCUCCUGCUCCUCCUGCUCCUCCUGCUGCUCCUCCAGUCAGCCUGAGUUGACAGCGGCCUCACCCACUGGACUCAGCUGCGGCUCUAAACUGAACCUGUUGAAACGUGCUGCAGCAGCUCUGCUCAGUCAGAUGCUGUCUGAGGACGUUAACAUUACAGAAAACUUCAUGAAGAAGACAUUUAAUAUUAAAACCCCCAUGAUGCUUUGGGGGAUGUAA
ensembl:lncRNA